rnacentral:rRNA from 1 species
CUCAGGAUGAACGCGUAGCGGGAGGCUUAACACAUGCAAGUCGAGGGGCAGCGCGGAUAGCAAUAUCUGGCGGCGACCGGCGGACGGGUGAGUAACACGUAUGCAACCUGCCCUGCACAGGGGGAUAGCCCGGAGAAAUCCGGAUUAAUACCCCAUGGUUCGCGGAGGCCGCAUGGCCUUUGCGGUAAAGAUUCAUCGGUGCAGGAUGGGCAUGCGUUCCAUUAGCUAGUGGCGGGCAACGGCCCACCAAGGCGACGAUGGAUAUGGGGUCUAAAAGGAUGGUCCCACACAUUGGCACUGAGAUACGGGCCAAACUCCUACGGGAGGCAGCAGUGAGGAAUAUUGGUCAAUGGGCGAGAGCCUGAACCAGCCAUCCCGCGUGCAGGAAUGAAGGUCUUACAGAUUGUAAACUGCUUUUGCAGGGGACGAAUAAGGGGUACGCGUACCCCGAUGACAGUACUCUGUGAAUAAGCAUCGGCUAACUCCGUGCCAGCCGCUGC